rnacentral:rRNA from 1 species
UACGGAGGGUGCAAGCGUUGUCCGGAUUUAUUGGGUUUAAAGGGUGCGUAGGCGGCCCUGUAAGUCAGUGGUGAAAUACUGCAGCUUAACUGUAGCAUUGCCAUUGAUACUGUAGGGCUUGAGUACAGAUGAGGUAGGCGGAAUUGAUGGUGUAGCGGUGAAAUGCAUAGAUACCAUCAAGAACACCGAUUGCGAAGGCAGCUUACUAAGUCUGUAACUGACGCUGAGGCACGAAAGCGUGGGGAUCGAACAGG